UCUUCGGCAAUGGGCGCAAGCCUGACCGAGCGACGCCGCGUGCGGGAUGAAGGCCUUCGGGUUGUAAACCGCUGUCGUAGAGGAGGAAAUGCAGGGGGGUUCUCCCUUCUGUUUGACCUAUUCUAGGAGGAAGUACGGGCUAAGUUCGUGCCAGCAGCCGCGGUAAGACGAACCGUACAAACGUUACUCGGAAUUACUGGGCUUAAAGGGUGCGUAGGCUGCGCGGAAAGUUGGGUGUGAAAGCCCUCGGCUCAACCGAGGAAUUGCACUCAAAACUACCGUGCUUGAGGGAGACAGAGGUAAGCGGAACUCAAGGUGGAGCGGUGAAAUGCGUUGAUAUCUUGAGGAACACCGGUGGCGAAGGCGGCUUACUGGGUCUUUUCUGACGCUGAGGCACGAAAGCUAAGGUAGCAAACGGGAUUAGAUACCCCGGUAGCCUUAGCUGUAAACGAUGAGCACUUGAUUGGAGGGUCCUCCAUAGCCUUCCAGUCGUAGCGAAAGUGUUAAGUGCUCCGCCUGGGGA
rnacentral:rRNA from 1 species